UACGUAGGGUGCGAGCGUUAAUCGGAAUUACUGGGCGUAAAGCGUGCGCAGGCGGUUCGUUGUGUCGGCGGUGAAAGCCCCCGGGCUUAACCUGGGAAUUGCAUUCGAGACUGAAUAGCUAGGGUACGGUAGAGGGAAGUGGAAUUUCCGGUGUAGCGGUGAAAUUCGUAGAUAUUGGGUGGAACACCGGUGGCGAAAGCGGCUCACUGGCUCGGUUCUGACGCUGAGGCGCGAAAGCGUGGGGAGCAAACAGG
rnacentral:rRNA from 1 species